UGGCUCUGGCAUCGAUGAAGAACGCAGCGAAAUGCGACAAGUAAUGUGAAUUGCAGAAUUCCGCGAAUCAUCGAAUCUUUGAACGCACAUUGCGCCCUCUGGCAUUCCGGAGGGCAUGCCUGUCCGAGCGUCAUUCAAAGUACCCCUCGAGCCUCGCUCGGUGAUGGGCCGCGCCGCCCCGGGCGGCGGGCCCCAAAUCUAGUGGCGGGCCUGCAGGCCCCGAGCGCAGUAACUAUUUCGCUCGGGAGUCUGCGGGUACGGCCAGCAAGCCCCUACAGGUAUACCUCGGAUCAGGCAGGAGUACCCGCUGA
rnacentral:misc_RNA from 1 species